CAGCACCGCGGGAAUACAGAGGAUGCAAGCGUUAUCCGGAAUAACUGGGCGUAAAGGGCACGCAGGCGGUGACCUAAGUGAGGUGUGAAAGCCCCGGGCUUAACCUGGGAAUUGCAUUUCAUACUGGGUCGCUAGAGUACUUUAGGGAGGGGUAGAAUUCCACGUGUAGCGGUGAAAUGCGUAGAGAUGUGGAGGAAUACCGAAGGCGAAGGCAGCCCCUUGGGAAUGUACUGACGCUCAUGUGCGAAAGCGUGGGGAGCAAACAGGAUUAGAUACCCGCGUAGUCCCUGUCUCUUAUACA
rnacentral:rRNA from 1 species